GCCAGGUGUGGUGGCUCACACGUGUAAUCCCAGCAGCUCAGGAGGCUGAGGCAGGGGGAUUGCAGGUUGGAGGCCAGCCUGGACAACUUAGCAAGACUCAGUCUCAA
rnacentral:sRNA from 1 species